GGCCUUAUGGUCUAGUAGCAUGAUUCUUCCUUUGGGUGUUCACCUGAUCUGGAAGAGGUCUCGGGUUCAAUUCCCGAUGAGGCCC